GUUUUUCUUCCUUUUCAGGUUUAGGUCUGAGAGUGUAUGCCAGAGUGUCUGCCUGUGCUAACCCUGCUGUGGUUCUGACGAAUUGACUGUCCCUGGCUUCCUUGUCUGUCAGCCGUACCAGUCGUUUAGAAGCUUUCGGCGCCUCGGAACUUGCACUGGAAACUCCAGGUUGUGACUGAAGGCCUUGUUUUGAGGGUGUUUUGCAGACCAGUGCUUGUCGGCCUGGGGAUUUUCCAGAAAAACUGUAGACUGCCCCCUUAAGGUUUAGGUCUGAGAGUGUAUGCCAGAGUGUCUGCCUGUGCUAACCCUGCUGUGGUUCUGACGAAUUGACUGUCCCUGGCUUCCUUGUCUGUCAGCCGUACCAGUCGUUUAGAAGCUUUCGGCGCCUCGGAACUUGCACUGGAAACUCCAGGUUGUGACUGAAGGCCUUGUUUUGAGGGUGUUUUGCAGACCAGUGCUUGUCGGCCUGGGGAUUUUCCAGAAAAACUGUAGACUGCCCCCUUAAGGUUUAGGUCUGAGAGUGUAUGCCAGAGUGUCUGCCUGUGCUAACCCUGCUGUGGUUCUGACGAAUUGACUGUCCCUGGCUUCCUUGUCUGUCAGCCGUACCAGUCGUUUAGAAGCUUUCGGCGCCUCGGAACUUGCACUGGAAACUCCAGGUUGUGACUGAAGGCCUUGUUUUGAGGGUGUUUUGCAGACCAGUGCUUGUCGGCCUGGGGAUUUUCCAGAAAAACUGUAGACUGCCCCCUUAAGAUUCAUCUGUGCUUAAGACCCUGUGACUCAUGGCCGCUGCUUUUUUUUUCGAGUUUUCCCCCGGAUCAGCUUGUAGUGAAACUGGAAGCUGUUCUGGGUGAAAAGAGUGAGUUGGUUGGUCUGUGUUGCCUGUGGACUGGUGAAACAGAUAGGUACGGCUAUGGUGUGCACCGUGUUGUUGUAUCGGGCAAGCGCAUCAAGCUAAAAGUCCACCGUCUCAAGUACUAUUUGUGUGAUCCCGGACACAGUGCACUGCAGCGCAAUUUCCAUAUCUCACACCUCUGCCACAAUAAGCUUUGCAUUAAUAUAGAGCAUUUAUCGUAUGAGCCAGUAACUGUUAAUAAUUCCCGCAAAGUGUGCCUUACAAAUGGUCAAUGCUCGGGUCACAGGGGCUUCAGGGAAUGCUGUCUGUGGUCUGCGGUAAAUAUACAAGUUAGGUUAUUGUUAUGUUGCCGUUCGCAGUUUGCAUGUACUGUACAUCACAAGGUUUUCUGCUUUACACUUUAAGUCCAUAGCUAUGGUCAGCAGCACUUGUAGAUGGCAUACUUUCAGAGGCAUAUAGACCGUCCCGGUACAGGGCUCUGUUUGCGUGCCGCUUUCUAAGGUAGAAUCUGACUAUUUUGUACCGCACUGAGGCCUUCCUGCGGCUGUCAUAUUCCCGUCUGCGAUCCUUGGCCUUCAGUUGGUUGUAUAUCAUGCUAUGUAAACUGAUUUUUUUCCCUGUCACCUUUUCUGCCACCUUCAUUGAUGAUUUGCUGGGCCCCAUAGACCUUGUAUGAACUGCAGAAUGACACAGAGCUGCAAAGUUUCUAGCAUAGAAUGAAGUUUUGGGGGCAUAAUGAAACACAGAUGCAUUUAAGCUCUCACAAGCAUUUGUGUUAAAGAGCUUUGCCACUUCUUUCAACCCCGUGGCAUCAAAUGUUUUAUUAAUGUUUCCUAAAAUAAUUUUCUUGUCACUCUCCUGGAGUGCUAGUGGCUCUCCAUAGGGCAAAUGUUUGUACGAGCUGGUCACUCGAUAGGUGCACACUCGUGAGCGUUCCUUGCACAUCUUGUGAUCUCCGGAGAAGCAAUGCAUGAUGUUUUCUAUAGCAAAUUUGGCCGAUCGAAGAAAAAGCUCAUCACUGCAGCUCUGUUUUCGCAGUCUUUCCAGUUCAAUGCGCACUCGGCAGCGGAGGCAGCUGGCCAGCUUACGCAUGUAUUCGUCUUUGUUGUACUUUUUUGGAAUGGAUUUGAUGUCUGACUUUGCGGCACGCACAUGUCUUUCGAGAGCUCUCAGCUUGUGAACAAAGCACUUGUAGUGGGUGGCCGUCUGCUUUUUUAAGUGAUUUGUUUGCUUUUUAAGCUCAUAGUAAUCCCGUAUAGCCUUUGCCGAUUGCGUACCAGAGUCGGUGGUUAUUGACCUUACUGCCAAAGGACCAUCUUUCACUUUAUCCAAUGACCUGUGAAGUAAUACUCGCUCACUGCUUGCAAUCGAGGCCUCAGCUGCAAAGGUUUUUGAGCAGUUAUCAUGCCUGCAGUACCUUUUUCUGCAAUGCUUGUUGGCCAUGGCUAUGGCAAGUGGGAGUUUUUGACCUGUAUUGUGUUCUACCAGGGCCCCAAAGCUUUGUGUAGACUUUUCGCAUCCCCCCUGGGGUCGACAUGUGUAGGCGACGUCAAAUUGGAUGUCAACUUCAGGUUCGAAGCCGGCUUUUUUCAUGACAUUUGCGACAUAGUCCUGAUUUAGUUCCAAUUGUUUGUCGCUCAGUUCUGUUUGUGCUUGUCCCAAGUCAUUAAA